GGAAGGAGUUUGCUUCAAGCAGUAAACAUAUCAGAACCUAUGAGACAAUCAGAUGAUACUGUAAGAGUGGAUCCUCUAAAUCAUUUCAAGAAAUAUAGAGGAGGAUAUGACAUAACCAAUAAGCAUUAUUGGAGUUCAGCUAUAUUUACAGGAAUAUAUGGAUAUGCCAUUGGGGUGUUGUGGCUUUUAUGUGGUUUGGUAUAUGGGGGAUUUUUGCUGGCAACCUCUUUUUGUUGUAAAAAUAGCAAUACAAAGCUGAAGAAGAAGAAGGGAUCACAUUGUCACAAGCAGUGUUAUCUUUGGCCCAUUCUUUUGGCAACAUUCUUCACAGUUCUAGCAAUGCAAGUCUAUCAGCUCUUUAGUCCAUGUAUAAUAGGGCUAAUUAUACUUUAACCCCUCAAUCAUAGUUUCGUGUCACUUUAUCUUUCUGAACUAAAAAUUGCAACGCUUAGACCAUUAUAAUGAAUAUACCCUUUAUAACAAAUUACACUUUACCUCUGAACUAUCAUUCAAUAUCACUUUAUCUCCCUUAGCUAAAAUUACAGAAUUAUUAAUACCACUAACAAGUGCUUAAUCAACAUAUUUUAUCAUCAAAGAGCCCAAUCGGCCAACAAAAGCGGUAACAAAUCCACCUUAAAGAAUAUGAAUAUAUACAGAAACAUAUCUUGUAUAAUUAUAUUUACAAAUAUACACAUACAUGUAUAACAUCAGAUGAAUAACAUAAUCUAAUCGACUGCUAAUUUUACAUUUCAUCAAAAAUCCACAAAUUGACAGGUUUCAUAUUAAUAACAGAGUUCAAUAUGUCAAAUUUCAUCCAAAUGUUUAACUUUAUCCAGAAAUUUUGAUUAAUAGAAGAACAAAACAGAUCAAUCGAGAGAGCCAGAUUCAAUAAUGUGGAUUAAUUGAGAUGAGUUAUUCAUUUUCCUGAAAAAAAUACGAAAAGAAAUGUAAUCCUCGAAAUUUUCUUCUAUCUAUUUUAUUUCCACAUUUUCCCAGCUUUUCUCAGUAACCAAACGGAUGCUAAAACGGGAGAAUACAGUUCGAGAGCCAUAAAGAAAUCAAUUAGAGACUCAUAAUAACCUAAUAUAAAAUAAAAAAAA